rnacentral:rRNA from 1 species
ACGCUGGCGGCGUGCUUACACAUGCAAGUCGAACGAUAAUCGCAAAGUAAGUUUUUCGAAAUGAACCAAGCGAGGAAAGUGGCGAACGGGUGAGUAACGCGUGGGCAACCUGCCUUUUACUGGGGGAUAACACCGGGAAACUGGUGCUAAUACCGCAUAACACGACCACAUGGCAUCAUGAGGUCGGAAAAGGAGUUAAAUCCGGUAAUAGAUGGGCCCGCGUCUGAUUAGCUAGUUGGUGGGGUAAUGGCCUACCAAGGCGAUGAUCAGUAGCCGAACUGAGAGGUUGAUCGGCCACAUUGGGACUGAGACACGGCCCAAACUCCUACGGGAGGCAGCAGUAAGGAAUAUUGCACAAUGGACGGAAGUCUGAUGCAGCGACGCCGCGUGGAUGAAGAAGGCCUUCGGGUUGUAAAAUCCUUUUCGGGGGGAAGAGAGAGGACGGUACCCUCGGAAUAAGCGUCGGCUAACUACGUGCCAGCAGCCGCGGUAAUACGUAGGACGCGAGCGUUAUCCGGAUUUACUGGGCGUAAAGCGUCUGUAGGCGGUGGCGUAAGUUGGGCGUGAAAGCUCCGGGCUUAACCCGGAGAGGCCGCACAAUACUGCGCGACUAGAGGGCGUGAGAGGGGAGCGGAAUUUCCGGUGUAGUGGUAAAAUGCGCAGAUAUCGGGAGGAACACCAGUGGCGCAGGCGGCUCCCUGGUGCGCACCUGACGCUGAGAGACGAAAGCUAGGGGAGCAAACAGGAUUAGAGACCCUGGUUAGUCCUAGCCCUAAACGAUGGGAUGCUAGGUGUGGGGCCGAUAGGCUCUGUG